CUUAUGGCCAGACCUACAUACACAUUUACGAUCCAAUAGCAUUGCAAGGCAAGACAAUAGGACCCAUUGACUAUGUAAAUGUGGUCUUUCCCCAAAAAACGUUUUUGCAAAUGUGUUUUUUGGAGAGAUAAAAGUGACGUUGUAAUAUUACAACCAGGGGUCUUACAGGGUUAAGAGGAUUUGUGGUCACGGAAAGUACUCCGCAGCCUGUGAAAUCAGUCGUACAAUAUAUUCUGAAUCUGUGGUGAGAGCUCUGUAAAAAGUAAAAGGACAGCCUGGGUUACUAAAACCCUGGGGCCAAAAUGUACAGCUGAUCCACAGCCACCUACCCAUACAUCCACAUUCCCCAUUUGGCACAAAGCACACCAACGACUAUACAUGGCAGCUUCAUUGUACUCAGAGACCAAGCUGUACUCCAGUGUGAGUAGUCGUUUGAUUUAUCAAAUAGAUGUCAACUUAAAACUACAUAUCGACUCGCUAUCAUUCCUCAAAAUUGACUUUUACGAAAAGGCUUUUUAAAAAUGUUUCCAGUAAACUGGUUGUCUCUCACUCUCAUCAUUUUACUUUACCAGUUUCUCUUACUCGUUCUUAUCAAGUUUACCGUUUUUUAUUUAUGUUUUUGUGUAAUUUUAUUUCAACCGUCCAUACGACUUUCUCUUAUUCUGUGAAGCACUUUGUAACCGCGUUUUGAAGUUUGUUGACCAGUCUGUAACAACAGAUGUCCCAGCACAGACUAACUCAAAAGAAUCAACUUAAAUGCAAGAUCAAACUUUUGUUGGAACAGAGCUAUUGUUAAUGUUAUUAGCUACACACGUACUGUUCCAAUUAUGUCAAGUCUGCUGAGAAAAUGUAAAUUAUUAAAACAAUUUAACAUCAGAAGACUAAAUACAACGAGCACAGUAUUCUACCAAAAUGCAGUCAAGCAAGGCUCAAAGAAACCUGUGUGAGCUCUUUACUGUCCCACACUGACGCCUAGUGGAUGUCACGUGUUAUUGCCCCACAAACCAUUAGCAUUUACUGAGUAAGGGAUUUCGUUAUACUAUCCUGCACAGAUGUGCUGUACUAUAUUGUCAACGCUAUACUUGCAGGAGGCAAAUCAGAAUAUGUUUCCAGCUAAUGGAUAGCAAAAGACUGGAAAUUACUAUUAUUUGUUCAUUAUUUCAUAUAAAUCACCAUAAUGUGCUCAUUGCUUCAAUUUUAAUGACUAAAGAGUUUCCUUUGAUUCGUUCUGCGUCCCUUUGUGUGCCUAUUUAACUGGCUCUGCUAACCUGUUAGUGAAGUAGUAGCUUCACAUUGUUUAUAAUGAAAUUACCAUUGUCCCUCCUUUCAGCACCUUUAAAUCGAGGCAGCGGAAAGGAAAAAACAAAAGGAUUUAAUGUGUGGGUGCAGAUGAGUCAUCUGAGCUGUUGGCUGCCUGUCAACUUCUGGCAGUGAAAAUGUCCAGAUGCAGACCCAGACUCUAAAAAGCUGCUUACGCAACUCUGUGCACUAUUUUUUUUUUUUUAAGCGUGGGAAAAAAAAUCACAACACUUCUUGAGUCUCUGAAAAAGCAGCCACGACGGGUCAAAAGCAACCAGCAACUCACGGAGCAAUUUAUUUACAACUGUGUGCAGGCUUGUGUGAGUAAAGCGUUUUUCUUGCCUCACAUCUCACAGCAAUAUUGUCUUGAAAGUUAAGACCAUGCCACGUGGCCACCACAAAGUACUGAUUAGUCUAUUAUUACAUGCUUGGUGUUGAUUUAAGAGCUGGCCCUUCAUAUGUGCUCGGUGACCAUGACUAUGAGAGUUGGAGUUUCCUCAGAAACGGUGCCAAACCUCAGGGGAAGUGAAGCCAUGAUUGAGCAGCACUGGCAUUUUACUUGGCUAAUUCUUCUGAAUGGGGACGUUUCCAGAGAAAGAGUCUGAAGUGUGAACACAUUCAAAAUAGAUUUAUUUUUAUUUUGUUGGAUAAAAGAUGACAGGUCUUCUAACAAGUUGUUCCAGUGUGGAUCCAUGUGUGUUGGAACAGGUCUUAGCGAGUCCAUCAAGAUAUGUCAGUCGUGAAAGUGCAAUUUAAAUAUUGGUUUUCACUAAUUGCCCCGCUGUGAGUCACUUUUCCACUCGUCCAAUACGUUGCUCAAACGUUAACCUAACCUUUUAAAACAAAGAGCUCAUCGUCUUGGGACCGGAUCCUAAACGAGGAAGUAAAAAAACAAAACAAAAACAUGCAUUUCGUGAGAUUUAAUCCAACUCUAAACAUUUUCUAUUAGGGUAAAAUAUGGCAUCUCUAUCAUGAGAUAGCACGUUUUCUAAAACACUAAGAGAUGAAAUGAAAGUCUGUCCACCCAGAGUGAAAUAUCUCAACGACUUCAGGAUUGUUCGCCAUAAACAUUGAUUGUCACCAGAGGACGAAUCCUAUAUACCGACAUUGGUGACCCCUUGACCUUUCCUUACCAUUCCCCUCUAUCGUAUCUUAAAGUGAGAGCACAUGUAGACUCAGUUCUUUCGAACGCCACACCCUUAACGCCACACACUCCCAAUUAUUUCUCAGGCUUGUAGUCUUCAAACCCAACCGCCGCUCAAGUGACUUCACGCCUUUCAGCAGAUGUUGUGCAGCUCCCUCUGGAGCCCCCCAAAAAGUCUUCAUAUUCCCCAAUUAUUGGAAACAGGCUUUGCUGUGUAAAAUUGGAGUUCCCAUUUAAUUUUCCAUCCUGUAUUGUCAUCGGGCAUGUUAAUUUGACUGAAAACUAACAACUAUAACCCCAUCCAUCAACUGCACUUUGUGCUUAGUGCUAAUUUUAUAGUUAGAAAACACCCAACAUUCUAGCCUUAUCAUUGUGAGCAUGCCAACUUUAACAUGAACAAUAAAUAUAAACCUGUGUGUUUACAUCCUAUAAUGGAAAAAAUAAAAUAAUAAUAAUAAUAAUAAUAAGCCUAGUGGGUGUUUUGUAGGUCAUCCCCAAUGCAUUUUACAACCAAAUCAUUCAAUAAAUAAAUGUUUCAGGCAGUGUACAAAAUAACCGGCUUUUAGGAGAUAAAAAUCGACAGGAAAUAUAAUUUAAAAACACAAACUAUAACCAACAAGCCACCCUUUUAAACCUGCUCCAAGUUACAGCACGAGCACGUGACAAUCGACUGGAAACUCCUGAACUGCCCCUGCGGUCGUCUACUGUGAACAAUCAGGAAAUUAAUGCUGCUGCUUCCAACGUGAUGUCACCGUUAACGCAUUAUAGCUGCAGCCCGCUUGAUAUGCAGCUCAUACUGCAGCGGAGACAGACGGCAGAGGAGGCGUUUCAGCUCCAGCGAAUUAAAGAAGGAAACCAAACUCCCCUUUUUGAGCAACAGAUAUCAGCGGAUUUACCUUCCCCCCAUGUUCGUUUGAGGGAAACCAGGCUCCUUCAGCAACGCCAGUUGUAAUUAACCACGGGGAACCAUGGUGGCAGCAGUCCUCAAGUUGUACUUCAUUGGAACGGCGUUGAGCAUCCUCGCAGUCCUUUAUGGGAUGGUGGACUCCUUUGGUGGUCUGAUGUACGCCCAGGACCAUCACUACAUUAUGGACCUGGACCAGCAGACACAGAGGCCGCUCUCCUCUGGCACCCACCGGAGAGGAUCGCCUCCGACUAAAAACAUCUGCUCAUGAAGGGAAAACAUCUUGGUCCCUGAAUUUAAAUGGCAGCCGGAUUGGAUAUUCUGGCUACUGUGGCCAACGGAUGGACAGACGGGGCAUCCCUGUGAUGUCUGACUUGCGUCUGCGUUACACAGAUUGUUGAUAUGCAUGCACUGUCCCAUGCUUUUGUGUUUGCUGCACACAUAGCAGUUUGUGUAUAGCAACUAUAAACCUGAUAAGAAAUGUUACAGCACUACUGAAUAAUUUGCACUAAAACAAGAACGUUUUGUCUUUUUUUUUAAUGUUUUUCUUUUUCCGAAUAAAAUGAUUUUUUUAAAUGUU